rnacentral:lncRNA from 1 species
GGGAUUAAAUAUUAAUAAACAACAGAGUUUUGCCCUAUCUAUUACAAAGCAAAGGAGAUAGUGCGGGGAAAACAGAUCCCUUUCAAGUCCUCAUCAUAGACAAAAGCGAGUUCUUGAGGACAAUUAGCAAAAGUUACAAAGUUGGAUUGUAAUCUGCCUCCCAUUCUUGCGAGUGCGUCCGCGCAUCUAUUUGCCUCCCGGUAAAUGUGGGAUAUUUUAACAUGCCGCAGCUGCGAAAGGAGGGAUCUGCAAUCCGAAAUGAUAGAGUUCAAAAGGUGAUUAGGAUUGGCAACAGCUGUUAACAAAGUAAUAAUAGCUUCGCAGUCAACUUCAACUUCAAGUUGAGAAAUUUUUAAGGAAAGGGCUAUUUCUAGUCCAUCUCGGAUACCCCAACAUUCCGCCAGCAUGCUGUUUGUAGAACCUAAGUUUCUGCAGUAUCCUUUAAUCCAACAUCCGGAGGCGUCUCUGAUAACACCUCCAGCUCCCGCUGGACCUGGGUUUCCUAAGGCUGAGCCGUCUGAAUUGAGCUUGAACCAAUGGAGGAUUGGAGGAAUCCAUCUGAUAAGAAUAUGGGAUUUUCUGCGAGGGGGGUGGCCAGAAUUUGGGCCAAGGGAGUAGAACUCAGUGGCCAACUUGAUGCUGGUUUUGGUUGGAGGAGGUUGUGUUCUGUUGGGCUCGAAAAUCUUUUUAUUCCUGGAUUUCCAAAUGGUGGAGCAAGUAAAGGCAAAGAGUGUGCCCCAAGGAAUAUUGUAGAAAGGGGAGGGUGUGGAAAGUUUACAACCUUCCCUAAUCCAGAUGUGAAAAGGAAUGUGUAGAGUGGAUAGAUAGUAGUUGGGAUUGAGCUCCAUCCAAACAGCUUGGGCGUGGACACAUUUGCGCAAGACAUGAUUAGUAUCCUCUAUCAGUCCUGGGCAGAAAGGGCAGAUAUUAUCAGGGAGGAUGUUUCUCUUAUGAAGGAGGUAUCUUGUUGCUAGUUUGUCUUGAGAAGCUAACCAGAGGAAUAAUUUGGUUCGAUGGGAUGUGUGAGUAGUCCAAAUCCAAGUGAAAGACUGGCUUGGAGGAUGGGGUGUUUGGACAUUGGGUUUGGCCUGAAUAUAUAGCAAACUAGUGAUCUCAUAUGCAGAUUUUAGACUGAACUCACCAUCAGGAGAAUUCCUCCAUAUAAGGUUGUCUGCUUGUUUAGAAUGGUGAGGUCUAGGAAUAGCUUUUAGCAGGUCGGUAAUGGAAGGGGGUAGAUGGAAGGAAAUAUUAUUGAAAUUCCAAUUACCAUUGCUGUCAAAAAGAUCUGAUAGGAGUAGUUGAUCUUCCUCUGGUAGGAGUGGUCCUUCAAUUAAGGAUCUGAGGGUGCUUGCUGAGAACCAUUUUCCAGACCACACUUUAAUUGUUUUACCAUCUCCUAUGUUCCAACCCAACCCUUGGUUGAAGAUGUUGUUACCGUGUAUGAUAUUCCUGAGAUUUAUGGAACCUCUAGAUUUGCAGAAGCUAAGAGGGGAUUCUUUCAAAGGUUGGUUUCUAUGUAAGUAGAGAUCUGAAAGAAUUUGAACCCAAGGACGAUGUGUGUUUUUCAUCAUCUGCCAAUUGAGUUUGGCCAAGUUAGCUUUGUUCAAAAGGGCUGAUUGUCUCAAUCCCAAACCACCCUCCUUUUUGGGGAGGGUAACAGUUUCCCACUUAAUCAAGUGGAGUUUUUUCUUCCCCUCUGUGGAGCCCCAGAGGAAAUUUUUCUGUUCUCUAUCGAUGGCAUCACAGAUUUUUUUUGGGAUAUGUGCUGCUUGGAAGAAAUAGGUAGGGAUGGAAGAUAUGCAUUGUUGGAUAAUUGUCUUUCUCCCAGCAAAGGACAACAGGUUUGCUUUCCAGCCUUGGAGUUUGGAUUGAAUUUUUUCCAAAAGGAAGUGGAAGGUUUUGGCUGAUGCUUUCUUCACACUAAGUGGAAAGCCAAGGUAUUUUCCUAGGUCUCGGGUACCCUGAAUGUUUAGAGUCCUGGUGAUAGAGUUUUUAGUGAAUUCAAGGGUGUUUGGGGAAAAUAGAAUCCUUGACUUGGAGUGGUUGAUACGGAGGCCAGAGAGGUCCCCAAAAAUGUUCAGAAUAUUUUGGAUAGUGGUUAUAGAGGUAUCAUCUGUCCUUGAGAAGAGGAUGAUGUCAUCUGCAAACAGACAAUGUGACAGACAAUGUCUAGAUCUCCCAAACUUGAGAGGGGUCCAGUUGUUACCAUCCACUUCUUUGGUGAUAGCCAUUGACAGGUACUCCAUGCAAAUAAUGAAGAUGUAUGGGGAUAAAGGGUCUCCUUGUCGAAUGCCUCUAGAAGGGGAAAAAAAGUUUGUUGGGGAUCCAUUUAUGAGUAUGGCCAAAUUGGUAGAUGUAAUGCAAUGAAGAAUGAGGUUGAUGAGGGAUGGGGGAAAAUCAAAGAAAGUGGGGGCUUGAUGAAUAAAAGACCAUUCAAGACUAUCAUACGCCUUAUGAAGAUCAAGCUUGAUGGCACACAACCCAUAUUUGCCCUUUUUAUUUUUAAGCCUGUGAAUGGCUUCUUGGACAAGCAUGAUGUUAUCUGUUCCACUUCUACCCGAGAUGAAGCUGGAUUGGAGAGGGGAGAUGAUGGUUGAAAGGAUUGGUCUAAGUUUAUUAACAAUGGUCUUGGCUAGUAUUUUAUAAGUGGUAUUGCAGAGUCCUAUGGGUCUAAACUGCUGAAUGAUAUCCGGGUUGUCAAGUUUGGGAAUCAAGCAAAUUAAAGUAUCGUUAAUCCCGACUGGAAGGGGCUUUUGAUUGUAAGCAUCAUGUAUGAAUUGGGUGAUUGAAGGAGCAAGGAAAUUCCAAAAUUUCUGGUAGAAAAUAGGGUGAUAGCCAUCCGGCCCAGGACAUUUGAGAGGUUUCAAAUCAAAAACAGCCUUUUUAAUUUCUAGGAUGGUUGGGAGGGUGACUAGGGAUAUUUUGGUUUCUUCCUCCAGAUAAGAUUUCUGAAAAGGGAAAUUCUGUGGGUAAAAGGAUGACUGAGAGUGGUGAGAAGUAAAUAGGGAAGAGAAGAAAUCAAGGAUAUGGUUUUUAACAACAUCACUAUUGGUCAGCCAUUUACCUUCAUUAUCUCUCAAGGAAACAAUUUUAUUCCGUUUCCUUCUACAGAGGGUAGAAGUUUGUAGAAAUUUGGUAUUGAGGUCAUCUGAUAUAGCAUAGUCCAAUCUAGAUUUCAUAAUCCAGAGGGAUUUUUCCUGAUGAAGGAUUUCCUCAUACUCAAAAAGCAACUGUUUUUCUAAAGACUCUAGGAAUAUAGAAUGGUGAGAUUGCAUCGCUUUUUGAGCACCUUGGAGUCUGGCUAGGAUCCUCUUUUUCUUAAAGAAAAUAUUCCCAAAGGUCUUUUUACUCCAGGAAAGGAUGUUAGAAGUGAGGUUUUCGAUAGAAUUGGAGAUAACAGAGGGGGGCCCAGACCAAGAUUGAUGAAGGAGUUGUGGGAAUUCUGGGUGAGACAUCCAAAAUUUCUCCAGUCUAAAAGGUCUGUUUAAGGAAUUACUAAUAGCCGGUUGGAGGUCGAGAAGAAUUGGACAAUGAUCUGAAUGAAUUCUUGCAAGGUGGUGUAUUUGUGCCUCAGGAAAAAGGUUAAUCCAUUCAGGGUUACAAAAGGCGCGAUCCAGCCGUUCGUAAAUAUGGCCUAGAUCCCUUCUAAAACACCGCCAGGUGUAACGAGGCCCAUUGAACCCUAAGUCUAACAUGUUGUGUGUGUGUGUGUAGAUGUAGACACACACACACCAGGCUUAAUAGGAUUCUGGCAGCAUCACAGAUUUCUCCACUAAAGAGGGAUCCCUCCACGAUCACGGUGGUCAUGGCGCCGCCGCCAAGGAAUCACUGGAAAAUCCGAUACAUCCAUGAAACCCCAUCCAUCCAUCCACGAUCCUCACAGUAGAUUUCACCCACCGGAGUAGCAAGCGAUGACAACGGCCAAACACCCAGUAGAGCCUCCAAUACCAGACCCUGCCAUUUCUCCCCAAACUGAUAUUCAUGUAAGUUCAACAACCACACCUGUAAACCAUAGUAUCUCCCAGACACAACUUCAACUUCCCUCACACUCUGUUUCGCCUGAAAUUCAUAAUUCCACUUCCAUCCUCCAUGCCCCAAAGUCCCCAAAACGCUCCUACAAGGACUGCCUCAUAUCUGAUAAAACCUCUUCAAUCAUUCAACUAGACCUCACCCAAACUGAACUAGCGUCCCCUAUAAACUUUUCUGAAACCCAUACCCAAACCGGGUCCCUUACCAUAGAUUUCCCCCCCAAACUCACAGAUAGACUCAGAGAACCUUGGAAAUUCACUCUGAUUGCUAAACCUCUGGGGAGAAGCACGGGUUUUAGAUACUUCGACCAAAAAAUUCGUCAUAUCUGGAAAUCUAGUGGCGAAAUAGCAAUCCUAGAUCUGGGUAGGGAUUUCUUCGCAGUUAGAUUUAAAAACCCGGAAGAUCAUCUUAGAAUCUUAACGGGCGGCCCGUGGUUUAUCAAUAAAUCUCUUAUUUCCAUUCGCAACUGGUGCCCAUUUUUUAAUGCUUUCGAUGCGAAAGCAUCCACAACAACUGUCUGGAUCAGACUACCAGGACUCCCCCUAGAAUUUUAUGAUCAAGAAGCACUCUCUCUCAUUGGAAAUAAAAUCGGGAAGCUCAUUAGAAUUGAUGCAAGGACGGCCAAUACAGAACGUGGAAGAUUCGCCAGGAUGUGCAUCGAGCUAGACAUUACUCGCCCUCUGCCUACCUCAAUCCAACUAGAUGGACACCAUCAGUUACUGAUCGUAGAAGCUCUGUCCUUCUGUCCUAGUUGUGGUAUGUUGGGUCACGACCAAGCUUACUGCCCUAAGCCCACCUCCGAUGAACAAACGGAAGCACAGCCGGGAGGAGGGACAUGGAGACGUGUUCAGGCGUUCGCCGGCAAAUCGUUUUCUAUGUCAGGAAAGCGACCUCUCCUUCGUAAACCCAACGGUCAGCAUUUUUCAAUUUCAAACGUUAAGUCCAGGCCUUCCCGACCCAUAAGGCCUCAUGGCCCAGGUGUUGGUCAACCCAAAACCCAAACCUCUAACCGGGUCCCUAUAUUCGGUACCACAGAUAUCCCUAUUAGAAAUAAUUUUGACUUGCUUUCUGAUGUUGACUCUGUGCUUUCCAACGGCGCCAAAAUUGCUGAGCCUCCCAGACCUGCCACCGAACAUCAGUCCCAAAAUUUCCUGCCUAGUGCUCCUUCUCCUACAUUGAAACUUCCUAGCAAACAGUUGGGAGAAAUUUUGCCUGCAAAUGGGAAGUGCACUUUCCAACCUCCUCCACCUCCUGCUUCCAAAAAUGACCUGUCGAAAGCCAGCUUCGAUUACCUCCCUUCGGAAGACAGGCUUAGCCCCCACGCCAUCAGCUACAUAUCCAAAACCGGAGAAGUUCUUUCAUCCACCUCAACCUCAGAAAAACCCUACGAUACUCUCACCAAAACCUCCCCAGCUCAGUAUGAACCACCAACAAGCCUCAGCAAUGUCCCGGAGGACGAGAACCAACCUGAGAAACUCUCACCCCUCUUACCAAACCCACCAAGUUUGGAACCACUACCCCCCACACAGAUUGGAAGAACACCCCCAAGCACCGCAUCUCAACCACAUGUUCAGGGAGGAGGAGUGGGUUCUGAUAUGCUCCCACAGAGUGGUAGACCCACUCCUAGUCGCGAACUCACAUCUCUCCUUGGAAGAGAUCCGCCAAAUCCAGGACCAACACAGUUUGGGAAGAAUACAGAUUUGGGCAACUCAAACCAGGAUAGCUUUUAUCACAGACCUGGACCCAGAAGACCAUCUAACAUCAAGGAACAGGGAGGUGAGGGGAAUCAGAGCAGGGAGACCUCCAUACGAACAACACCACCAAAGGCCAAACCGCCCACACAACCGGCCACAUCAGCCCCAGACUCAGCCACAAAGGGACUACCCGGAACCAAGGAGACACUCAAACCGCCACUAUCGAUGGAACCCAUCAUGGAGGAGGACUCAGAAUCGCCCAGCGACAGCUCAGGAGACUGCUCAGAGGAGAGAUGCCCAGGAACCCACGGGCUCAAACCUCGCUCCAGAAUACGAAACAAUGCCACAACUGUACGUCCGGCAAGAAGUACUCUCCAUAUCCCCACUUUCAGUCACUGCCAGAGACUCUCAAAGCUCUGUCACAAUUAUCACGCCGAUAAAAGAAAUGUUAGCCGUAAAAAUAUUCAUGACGGCCAUCGAACUGCUAGGCGUAGACUCCAGAGACCACUCCUUAACACUACGCCCAAGAUUCAGUCGAGAGUUUCACUUUCCCGUCAAUAUCUACGACGGAAAUCCCAGCUCCCAAGUGAGGCCUCAGAGCCCACCAGAGCCGAUGAUGCCCAACCCAUUUCCUGACUCUAUGAAGAUCCUUUUCUGGAAUGUCAGGGGUGCGGGACACCCGAAUUUCAAAAAUCACUUUCUUCAACUUGUCCAGCUCCAUAAUCCCGCAAUUGCUAUUCUAGUAGAAACUAAACUCCACGGAGACAGAGCACGCCAUAUUUGCAGUCAACUCCCGUUUGACAAUUUCUCAGUGGUCGACUCUUCCGGGUUCAAAGGUGGAAUGUGGCUACUGUGGAACAAGGCAGAAGUUCGCGUAGAUCCUAUCUCAAACCUUUCGCAGGUCAUCCACGCUUCAGUCCAGGUAACCCCCUAUUCACCCCCUUGGAUUCUUUGUGGAAUUUAUGCUAGCCCACAGUUUCAGGAAAGAAUCCAAUUAUGGAAUAGUUUGUGUUCCUCUAAUAACCCACUACAAGAAAUUUGGCCUUUUGUGACAAUACAAAGUCAUCACUAAAAAUCCAAAAGUCGUCAUUAUAUGAAUAUAGUGACGACUUUUCCCAUUGUCACAUCGUUGUCACUAAUUCUAUGUCACAAAUAGGUACCUGUGACAACCUAUAUAAAGUCGUCACUAAAUAUUAAUAUUUAAUGACGAAGAAUAAGUCGUCACUAAUGAAUAGUUUUCUGUGACGACAUUUCUUGUCACUGUUGCAAAAAUUUUUUUGUCAUAAAAGAUAGCAAAAGUCGUCACAAAUGUGGACCUGCACAGUGACGACUUGAACUUGUCACUCUCACUCCUAGUAUUCUGUGACAAGAAUGGUCGUCACUUACAAAUUUGUCUCCAACAGCUGCAAUUGUUCAUUCCAAAUAUAACAUUGCCAUGGCUCUCGUUCUGAUAGUUAUAGCCAAAAAAAUUAAAUUUGGCUAAGAGUGACAUCUUUUGGGGAGGUUGUCACUGAAUUUUUUCUAAAGGAGUUGAAAUUAACCGAUACAAAUAUAGUAUUGCCAUGCCAUUUUCAACAAAUAUAACAAAACAUUCAAUAUGACAAAAGGCAAAACCAACAUAGAAUAUAUGCCACAAAUUCAUAUAUUUGGCCAUAACACAUCUCCAAAUUAGUCAAAACAGAAGUGAACCACAAAUGUUGGGAAUAUAGUAAUCCCACAUAAUCAGUUGUAAGUUCUAAUGGCCAAUACAUAUCCUUCCCAAAAGAUAGAAUACUAGAUUUUGCCACUAAAGCAUAGACUACACAGCUGUGGUCAGAUUUUGAGCAUCUCUUGCAGCACGAGCAUCAGUCUUCUCACGAUCAAAAUAUGAAGUUAGACUGCAUUGAAAAUAAACUUUUCUUUAGAGUUUCAGCAUAUCCAACUACUGUGAACUUAAGUAAAAAAAAAUCAGUCAAGCUAUGUUAGUGCACUCAAUAAUAACCUGAAUAAUAAGAAUGCGCAUGUGCUUUGUUAGUGCACUCAAUACAAGCUAACACUCUGUUUUGCAGAAAAGAAUCCAAUACUAUCAACUAUUUCCAGGAACUCCAUUUAACUUGACCAAUUGUUUUUCCAAUAAAUCAUCCUCAAGUGCUUAAGGUCUCACUAAGAUACUAGUUUCAAUUCACCAAGCAUACAUCAAAACCCUUCCUUAUUCAAAGGCUUAUACUUCAAGAGGAAAACAGAGAUGCAAUAUAACAGCAUUGCCAAUUGCAGAUUUCAGCCUUAUGUACAGAAGGUCUUCUCUUUCUUCCAAUAGCUAACUUCAUCCAGCUUGCCUUGUGGCACUGGUUCAUAUUUCCAUUUGAAUUUCUAUUCAUGGCUUUGGUUUGUGUGGAUUCUAUACACUAGGUGCAACAAAAAUUACUAAAAUUUGCAAAGAUUUAUAUUGUGGAAAGAAUGACAACUCACUUUAUGAUCUACAUCUGUGUUAUGGCUCAACCAUGCAUAGGCCUCUUUGAAGUCAUAAAAAAUGCGAAGGCCAUCAUGAGAUUGACUUGUUAGCACUAUGAAGGGUAUUGAACAUGCUUCUGCUGCUGCCCAGACACAAUGAACCUACAUGAAAAAUCAUCUGUAAAUAGUGAAGAGCUCAACCAGGAAGCCAAAGAACAACAUGGAAAUCCAGCAUAAGGACCAAAAAGUACAACCAAACUUUUAAGUGUUGCUUUCAUCUCAAUCUUUUUGCGAACUUUUCAGAAAGCACUCACAGGUUAUAUUAUAGUAUUUGGAGUUAAAUUUGCAAAAAAUGUGUAAUUCAGAAUGGCACGACUAAAAGAAAGGUCUAAAUAUUACAUUGACAAGACCUUUUUAUUAUGGGAAAAAAUGCUACCACAGUCAUAACAGCUACAAUUGGGUUUUUCUCAGUCAUGAGCAGCAAACUAGUAACAAACAAAAAGAUAAAAGAAUUCCUCUUUUACUAGACCAAAUUAAGCAUACAUACCACAUAGAACGCAACCAACAAAACUAGUAAAAAUAUAGCAAUGACAGAUGCUUCAACAAGUAAAACCAAAGACCUUCUCUAAUCAGAUGUAAAAAUUUCUGAUGUACUAGGCAACUGAAAUUUGAGCGAAUGAGUAAGAACAUCAAAAGCUCCUGAAAGAGAAAUUCCAGGCAUUUUGCAUACUGCUGGACCAAGUACAAGCAUUAGUGGCACCUGUAACAGCAAAAGAGAACGUUGCUCAACAUAGUGGAAGCCAAGAGAGAAUAGUAUUAAGCUUACAUAUUUCAAAUUAAUCUCACCAUGACACCUGAAAAAUAUACUAAUGUAACUAUGUAAAGGAUGCUAAAGGAGCUUGCAUCAGAAAGUGGCAAAAAGCAUGCCUGCAAUUGCAAACAAGAUAGAUUGGAUAUGAGUAGCCACUCCACUAGAGAGAACUAUAUGUAUAAAGUUAAAGCAUCAAAUUUCAAGUUUGGUUACUUCUUUUGCCUUGAAACUACUUAGAUAGAUUCCAAGCAAAUCAUGAACUCGCAACUAGAAUUCGACAGACAGAAGAGACUCACGGAUCAAGCAGACUUAGACUACGCCCACUCCAACCCUUAGUUGGGCUGGAGGCUACUAAUGCUAUAAGUACAGUCACCAUGGCACAGCAAAUUACCCUGAAAUUUGAAUGACAAGUAAUUAAGUCAACCAAAAAAUUUUUAUGAAACUCUUAGCUACUACUUACACAAUAUAACAGCAAGCAAAUUUCUUUACAAACUACAAGUAAAGGCACUUAUAGGCCAACUGAAAACACAAGCGUAACAGCCACUUUUAACAUUCUUAGUGACAGAAUCCCUUUAAUAUAGUAAACAAGAGCUACAACAUGAAUAAUAAUAAACACCUGUACAUGCCCAAGAAUGGAAAAGUAAAAUUAGAGAUUAAGAGCAACAUAAGGCAUAAAUUUAAAAAGAUUGAGAAGCAUAAAAAAAGUAAAAGCGAAUCCCUGACUACAGUAAUAGCGAAUGAGAAAGCAAGAAUGGCAGAAAAACCAGCCAGUUGGAACUAACCAAAAAUGAAGCAAAAUGCUCGGAUGCCAUGACCGGAUUAAAGCCCAGAACAGGGACCAAAGCAGCCAACAAUGUUCCCAAGACAACUUAUAUUUGAAAUUACAAAGACAUUAGUACAAGGAUGAGUAGAAUAACAGCGUUAAAGAGGCAUAUUUAUCUUAAAGACAUUACUAAUUCAAUAUAAAUCAAAACAGAUUUGGACAAUACUACAACCAGACAUAAAAACCGAUAAUACAGCCCAAACCAAAACCAUAGAAACAACUAAAAAGCUGGAGAUUGAUGCCAAGGGUAAAAAUAAAGACAUAAAAUAAUAGGUCACUUACCAUAAGAAAUUGUGGAUUCAACAUAUCUGGAGUUCAAUUCAAACUCCUCUGCCACUUCAAAUACGCUAACAAACAUGUUUCAAGAGCAAAUUACCAACUGUGGUAGCAAUCACAAUGGUCAAACAAACUAGAGAACGGAUAAUCCAUAAGUCCAGCAAUUGAAAAGAAAUAUGGCUCGCUAUGGCUCUAAAACCCUGGUAAGGACGAUGAUCAAUGCAAUAAAGGUAAACAGCAAAAGAGAGAUAACAAAAAUUUCGAAGGUAAAAUCCUUCAAUGUCUUAGUAAUUCAAUUUCAUCUCCUAACGGCAAUUAGAGUUUUCCGCUGGUAGAUGAAUAUAUCAAAACUGCCUUUGACAUUGACAAUUUCCACUUUGGAGUGCAUAAAAUUAAAACGCAGAUACAGGUACAUCAGAUUUCAUAAAUCUAGCACUUCGACUCACUUACUAAACCAAUAACCAAAACAAUUAAAAAAAACUCCAAAUCGACUAUACUAAUAAUAUUUCUUAAGCAGUAGACCAAUCGCACAUUUAACAUUUUUCCUCCGAGAGAGAGAGAGAGAAGGUCCUUUCCAUAAUCGAUAUUAAAUUAUUCAUCCACAUCACCUACCUACUAUGUGCGUACAAUAAUUCCCCAUCCAGACACAUAACAGAAUAUACCUGCUUGAGUUCAGGCCUAGACAAAUUGGACAUGGCGAAAAUUUUCAUAGCAUCAUUGCCAGUCAAGCAGCUAUCGCCGUCUGCACAAAAGGAAAAGUAGAAUGCUAAGUAAAUAAAUCUAUAAGAAAGAAAGAAAAGAAAAAAAAGAAAGAAAGAAAGAAAGAACAUAGUUAACGAUUAAUUGGAAGGGAAGAACAGCAACUGAAUUAAUUUGAACGAAAAAGUUAUGACCAAAAAAAGAAGGAAAACCUGAGUCGGCGAAGUUGAACCAAUACUCAAGAUUUAAGUGGAAAAUUUGACCCAUAAACUCAAGAUUCAGUCUAUCCGACCUACAUUUGACAAAAAAAUAUCGAAAUUAGAUGGAAAAUAUUGAGAUUACAUACCUCAAAUUAUGCCUUCACUCCCUUAGCUCUUGUUUUCCUUAAGAUUCAGUCUUCGAACUCUGGCUUUCCCCCAAAAUUCACGGCCAAUUUUCUGUGUUCUUGCCAGCAAGCAAGUGCAGCACCAAUCUAGGGAUUUUUGCUAUUUGCGAGGUCACUAAAGUUGCCCAAAUCCUUUGGGUAGCUCAAAUUAGGGAUGAAAAAGGUGAUUUAAAGUGAUUUUGUGGAUAAUUUCAGCAAGAUGACAGUAAAGCAUAAGAAGAAAUGGAGAAGAUGAUAAUGUCCGAAACUUUCAACGAGAGAGAGAAAAUGCGGUACGAAAAUUUUCAACGAGAAAGAAGAAAUGAUAAGUGUUGUGAGUGUUUUAGUUUAACUCUUGCCAAAACGACGUCGUUUCUAUCUCAUUUUGUUCACCCCGCCUCUACACCUUGAAUUUUCAGCUUCCCGCUUCCAUUUUAACUUAGCACAAAAAGUAACGCUUUCAUUCUUUUUUGUACAAACUAUUUGAACCUUUCUUUAUAAAAAUAACGCCUUCUCUAAUAUCUCUUUUUUUUUUCCCAUCUAUGUGUAAUUAAGAUUGUUUAUUAUUUUGAACUUUUUUAACUCACAAGUUGUAUUAAAACUUUAUUUGUAAUAUUAAAACUUUAGAAUAUGAAAUUUUAAUAUUUUUGGAUUUUUUUUACUAACAUAGGAUUUUUUUUGGAUCUCUAUGACAAAAUAAUGUUCAAAAACUAAAAAUUUUAUUGAAUAGGAUUUUCUUAAAAAUUUUAUUAAUGUUCAAAAUAAUGUUUAUUGAAUUUUUUUCUUUUUUUUAUUAACAUAGGUUUUUUACUAAAUUUUGAAAAUUUAUUUUUACCGAGCAGCUCAGCAAAGGUCGAAAACUUGAAUCAAAGCAUCUCGACAUUAGGAUCUCUACCAAAAAUAAUGUUCAAAAACUAAAAGGCUUAUUACAAAUAUGUUUAUGAUUCAAAAAAAGAUCUUUAAAGGCAAAUAUUUUUGUUAUCAAUUUAAUAAUGUUAUCAAUUAUGCACGAAGUGUGGUCUGACAAGACCAAACAAUCUGUUUAGUUGAUCAAAUAACCAAAAUGGUUUACUAAUACAUAUAUGAAACACUAAAUCUAUUUGAUACAAGUACUGAUUCAUUAACCAUAGAUCCAAUUUGAUUAUUGUAAAUUGUAAUACAUAACAAACUCCAGUCAUGCAAUUGUCAAAAUUUUUACUUAAUUUCAUAUUAAAUUUUAUUAUUCUCUCCGCUUAUUAUUUUCACACUAUGUUAAUCAGUAAUUUCCUAUAUAUUGUCAAGAGAACUAAAUAAUGAAUUCAUAAUAUUUUUUAAAUUUAUAACUAGCUAUUAGUUAAGUUUGGAAUAAUUAAAAAAUAGGUAAACAUCUUUUUUUACAAUACCUUCCUCAUUUUGCUAAUGAUGAAUAUAACCUAAUGUGUAAAAGCAUAGGGUGCCAUAAUAGAAUUAAUACAACCUUUCUUUAUCGCAUACGAGGCUAAAUUGCAAAAGACACUAGUGUCAUGGUAGAGUUAAUGAGAUUAGUUUACCAAAUAUGGGCCUAAAAUAUAAAAGUUCAGUGAAAUAACAUAAUUAAUUAAAUUUAUUUACAACACAUGGGCCAUAUCAAAAAAUUAAUGUGGUAUAUGGGGCUAAAAUGUAAAAUUUAGGGUGUCAUAGUAGAAUUAAUAAAAUUUAUUUAUAACACAUGGGCCAUAUUGAAAAAAUUAAGGUGGUAUAUGGGGUCAAAAAGCAAAAGUUAGGGUGCCAUAAUAGAAUUAAUAAAAUUUAUUUACAACAUAUGGGCCAUAUUGAAAAUAUUAGGGUGACAUAGUAGAAUUAGUGAAAGUGGGAUGAGAAUAAACGCUUUGUACAGUGACGACUACUUGUUGUCACUAAUUUAGAACGUAUCACCAUACUGUGACGAUAUUAAAAAGUUGUCACUGAAAUUGGUCCUACAGUGACAACGUCUUUUCCAGUCGUCACAAUGUUGAUCUCCUGCCAGACUGCAUAGUUGCGCGCCAUCCAUACUGUGACGACUUAUCCCUUGUUGUCACUGUUGACGGGUGAACCCACGAUCAAGCAUGACGACUUUUAGUGUUGUCACUAAAGUCUUCAAUUGUGACAAGUUUCUAUGUUGUCACAGAGAAUGUUGUCACAAAAGGCCAAAUUUCUUGUAGUGACCCCAAUCUCCCUUGUGUUUGGAUGGGGGAUUUUAAUGAGAUUUUAAUGAGUUCGGACAAGAAAGGGGGUAACCCGAUUAGUCCAAAUAGAGCCUGUUUAUUCAAAGAGUGAUGGAGAUCACUAUGAGCUACACACAUAAGGAUAUAUUUUCUCAUAGAAGAACACUUGCUUCAGAACAGACCAGCGCAGGUAUUAGUCAUGACAGGAACUGACGUCUAGGAAAAACUUGGAGGUAUUAACUAGGUUUCGUAAGGAAUCCUCCAAUGAUUAAAAAGUCGACACCAAAAAACCAAAAAAAAAUCAGAUUUAACAGGUGAACCGCACCCGAAAAAACAAAAAAUAAACCAAGGCUCUGGCAUAUGCAUUCGUCGUAGGUAAAUUAUUUGGGAUAAACAUGUACCACUUUUCUUGGGUGUCCAGGUCAUCUGUUCUAGCAGUUUCUGAAUCGUUUGAUACUUCACCCCAUACUAUUUAGAAGUUAAUUAGAGUAUUAUGCAGCCCCUUGUUUUUCUUUUAAAAGUGUAAAUUUAAUUAAUUAAUGUAAUGAUUUUAGUGACUUCCCACAUCUUCUUGGUUUGGAUGGUUAUCUUUACUUGCAAUAUCAGGCAACACCAAUAUCAAAGCAAGCCCCUACCUAGUUGGACAAUCUAUGGCCUUACUCUCAGUUGAUUAUUUUAAUUGGUUAUAGAUUCUAAUAUUGGAUAAUUAAUUUUUAUGAUGCUCUCGAUUGAUUUUGCAUUCUGAUUAUAGUUUUUUUUUAUCACCAAAAAAAUUAAAAUUUAUAAUCAUUCAAAGAGUAGCAUUACUUGUUCUGAUUAUCUCUAUAAAUAAUUUCUAUAAUCAGAUUAUAUAAAAUCUAAAGCAAUCGAGAAGAAGGCCUAUGUGUAGAAUUUAGAAAACAAAGCCCGAAUUGUUUCGUCUAGAACAGACAGUUUUUAACAUAUUUAAGAACAUAAAUGAAGGUAAUCAAGUCUACAUUUUCCCUCCCCUUCUUGAACUGAUUGGAGUUUGUUUAUCACUUUAUCCCCAUUAUUAAGUGUGCCAAAAUACUUCUAGAUUAUUGAUCAAUCAACUUCCGAAAAAUCAACCCAUAGCAUGAUAUAACAAGCCAAAUUAAGCAUGUCAAUUGACAAGCCUCCAUCUGAGAGGUUGACUUUGCGCUAAUCAUUUUCAACGGAUUGCUUCUCUUACUGCACCAUUUAUAGCACUAUAAAGGCAUUAGAAGGACAAUUAUUGAUACUAAUACCAAUUGUUAAUUAAUGGAAUUGUUACACCUCACCCUCCAUUCAGAAGUUCCUUACUUUAUCAUCAAUUUUCAAAUUAUUUUCGGGGGAAUAAUCAUCCAAUCUCAAGGAAACGAGUUUGACAAACAAUUAGCCUUUUACAUUGUUUAGUCCCUUUCCAUAGCACAUUUUUUCAUCCUUAACUAAAAAUAUUAUACUAUUUAGUGCAUGCAAAUACAUCAAAAACUCUCCACUACGUUAGUGGAAUUGUGGGUCGGCACCAUAACAUGAUAAUAUGGCCAUCGCACAUGACACUCCCUACAGCUUUUGCAUUCCAUGCGUUAGCUUUUCUCGUCCACAAACUUUGCUUCGUUUUCGUUCAACGUAAAAUCUUCAUCUUCAACAGUAUUCUGAAUAAUAUAAUUAAUACAAUUGUCCCCCACUUCUUUUCUUUUGCAAGUUUGGAACUUUUCUCACCAACUUUGCUUCUUGUACAACUAUAAAUACCUCAAUUUUUUAUGAAUGUUGGCACCAGAGAACAUCCAAGCAUUAGUAGCUAUAGACAAGAGAAUUGUAUCAUUCACAUUGUUUAGAAGCUAAAUUGUGAUUUUAGCCAAAUUUAGCAUCAAAGAUGACUAAGUUGAAGGCAUUGUUAGUUCUUGUUUGUUUGCUUAUUUCAGCUCUCGCUAUGGUGGCUGAAAGCCGAGUAGCGAGAAAGGACUUGGGUUUGGACUUGGGGUUACCCAUAGGGGUAGGGAUUGGAGCCGGAGUAGGGAUUGGUUUAGGAGGUGGGAGUGGCUCAGGAGCUGGAGCUGGCGCAGGUUCUGGCUCAGGAUCUAGUUCUAGUUCGAGUUCAAGUUCAAGUUCAAGCUCGAGUUCAUCAGGUUCCGGUGGUGCAGGCUCAGAAGCUGGCUCGUCAGCAGGAUCAUAUGCUGGAUCAAGAGCUGGUUCGAGGUCAGGCUCUGGUGGUGGAGGCUCAGAAGCAGGCUCAUCGGCAGGAUCAUCAGCCGGAUCAAGAGCUGCUUCAGGAUCAGGAGGCAGUCGAGGAGGAGGAUCUGGCCGAGGGUCUGGUUCAGGCCAUGGUGAAGGUUAUGGCGAGGGUUCAGGAAACGGAGGUGGCCAUGGUGAAGGAGGUGGAUCUGGAUCAGGUUAUGGUGAAGGAAAUGGAAAAUGAAUACAUGUCAAAUGCAUAUAUGUUAAAGAAGGAAAUAAAGUGGUAGUCAUGCAGUACUUGGACUCGUGCAUUUUGUUUUAGACCUUGUGUAACUAAGAAUGAUCAUUGCCUGCACUUUAAGUAAAUUGAAGAAAGUUGAAUGGUGUCGUAUGUUUUCUUCCGUUUGUAGUAAAAUCUAUGAAAUCCCUAGCUACAAGGGUAACAGCAAUAAAAUUAUUGUCAUUUUGUCACUGUAUCAGUCAAUUUCAGUUAAACUCCCAUGCAUGUCAAUUGCAAUAAACUCGUUGAAGAGGGAAAAAAUCGUUUUCCUUGUUACUGUUUAAGACAAAAUACCGAGCAUGGUCAUAAAUCUUUGUUUCUUGAUGCCCUACCAAAAUAUAUGCUUACUUACUAAACAUCUCUUUUAUUCUCUGAUGGUUUUCUUCAUUCAGGUCCGUCACCUUCUUCUGUUUCUAUCGUUUCCUCACUCUUACACAAGAAAUUACUAAAGUUUUUCUGAACUUUUAGUUUCAUCAACAUGCAUAUUCUUAGAUAUCAAACUAAGUUUUAUCAAGUUUCUGUUUAGCAAGCCAUUAGGAGAUUUUAAUUAAUUAGGAGGAUUUCACCCCUCUUGUGAAGGAUGCUGUGAGUCUGAAAGAGUUUGAAAAUGAAAUUUAAACAAAAUUCGAAAGUUCAUUGAAACUCUUUGAGUGUCGAAAUAUGACUUUCUUUUGUAUUAAGGAACGGUUAAAUUAUGAAAAUAGUAUGUGAACAUUUUACUACGACUAUGAGAGAUGCAGUUGAAAAAAGAAAGCUAAAUCCAAACUACGAGAACCGAAAAUCAAAAUCAAUUUAGAAUCCUGAGUUUUCAACAUAUCGUUAUGGAAUGUCAAUUUACAAGUAGAUAAAUUGUUAAAACUAUUAUUCAUCUUCAAUAAAGAGUGACAGGCCGUUAAACCCUCUAAUCAGUUGAUUUUUUUUUUUUUUUGUUUCGAACUUCUUAUCUGGGAGGUAAACCAUGUCAAUGUGCUCGUUAUGAGUGUCUUUUGUAAAUUGGCAUAGCAUCAUUCAUUUUCUGAGAGAUUGUUCAGAGUGAAACACCCUUAUUAUUAUCUUUGACACCGGUUUUCAAAUGUCUAGGUUUGCAAAGCAGUAGAUGAUUAAUUCUUCUACGGACUAUAUACUGGACUUAGCCAUUUGCAAGGAUCAUGAGUCUGUUCACAGUCGAAUUUGUUGGUCAGAAAAAAGGAAAAGAAAAGAAAAAGAAAAAACGUAAGGACGUUAAUGGCUCUAUAAAGAGUACAACCGAACAGGUAAAUAGCAAAUGGAAGAUAAAGCUAGCAAAACAAAUGUUUUUUUUUCUAUAUAUAUAUAUAUAUAUAUAUAUGUUCGUGUAUAUAUAUGAACUUAUCUGCGUCAACUUUUUUUGAAAGAAAAUGCUUUUUUGAUAGAACACUAUUAUUGAAAGUAUUUUUGUUUUGAUAGGAUACUAUUUUUGAUGACCAUAAUGAAGUAGAGAAGUGAUUUUGACUGGUGCUUAGCCACCACCGCAUUUGAGUUUAAUGAGUCAGCCUUUCACAAUUCAAAGUGUAAAUAUAUGGUUCCACUCAUUGGUUAUCCUUUUAAUGGCUGCUUAUUUUGUCUUCAUUCUUCAUGAUUCUGAAGUAUCUUAUAUGCUUGUGAGUUGUGACACCUCGUUAUUCUUAAGUCCUAUCCUACGUGACUAUUGAUUUGGGUAAUUAUUUUCCUAGCUGCGGCCUAUGAGAUUUUCCUUUUUCCUGCAAUUUCCUAAAUAAAGCAAUUCUACCCUUAUCACAAGUCUCAUAAGCAAUUUUAAGCAACAUUGCAGCUUCUAUAAUCAGGGUAAACUAUUACUUAUGAAUGUUCAACUAUAUACUUCUUUGCAAAUUUUGUCCUCAAUCAUUGUGUAAGCAGCUUAUCGCCAGUCUCUCCUUUGUUAAAUCUGGUUCUUAGAUUCUUGUUUCUAGUUUUUCUGUUUUCACUUUUCACUAGUUUGCUCUUAUUGUUAGUGAAUAUAUACACACACACAUACAUAUACAUGUAUAUGUAUGUGUGUGUAUGUAUAUGUAUGUGUAUAUAUAUAUAUGUAUGCGUGCGUAUAUGUAUGUAUUAGUGAUGUUACAGUCCUCGAGGACAUGGAUAUCUUGAUCACGGCCAGAAAAUUCGCACUACCAGUUCUUUUUCCACUUCGUUGCCUCAACCUUCUUUUGACAACUUAGUGCGCUAAAGACGAGCAAGAUUGAUUGGAAGAGUCUUGAAUCUCACCAUUUUUAGCACCACUUCUGCUACACUUUUGGAGGAUGCCCUUCCACUCGUCAAAACUCUUCUCGCGUAAAACCUUUCUAUACAUAAGGUCGCGCCGUUAUCGAUUGGGAACUCUACACUGACAGCAAAUUGAAUCAUUCAUAAGUUGACUUCAUUUCCAACACUCUACCUUGUUGAUUCAUCUCUAUUUGCAAUUUGCAAAGGAAGACUGUGCCUCGUACACAAGGAGCAAGGGCAGCUUCUUGUUCCUUGUACUGAUUGAACAAGUUCUUGAAUUACCAAGAGCUGCGGUACCAUUGAUAGCUCAUUUGGCUGUUAUGGUUUCUGAUGCCAUCCUUUCUACUAGCAGACAUCGGAUGUGAAAUUCUCACAUAAGCAAAUAGAAAUUUAAUGAAUGUGAUGUAAACUUGAAUUUAGAUUUGUCAUGGCUUAAGUUGAUGAGUGUGGGUAUCAUGGUUUAUAAAUAUAUGCAGUGAUUUCGAACUUAGAAUAAAAAUUGUCUGGAUAACGAAGCAAGCUUAAUCUUGGAACAAUUUCCAUAAAAGACUUUUAUUUUCAGUUCCUGUAACUCAGUCAACAAAUCCUUCUGCUUUCUAGGGGUUCCAUGUUACUUUUUGUUGUUCUCUUUUUCCUUCCAAACAAGAAGAAAAAGUUUUAGUUCCUUUGCCAUGUAAGAAGACCGGCAGCAUUUCAGUAUUUCUCCCUGCAACGGUCGUUUGAAACAUAUUGAACGAUUUCAUCUACUAACUCUGCCCUUUUACCUGAUGUGGCCAACAAAGGUAUGGCAAAGGAGGAAAAAAAGCCAUACCUAAAUAAAAUGAACCCAAAAAAAUAGUAGCUGUCACUCGUAAAUAUACAUACAUUUUUUUUUAUAAUUAUGUAUUUCACAAAAGAUUAACAAGUAAGCUUGACAAUACGUACUCAAUAAAGCUUGAAACCUGGACAUACUUCUCUGAUUGGCGGGUAAUAUACCUUGAACAUUUACCAUUUGCCUGGAAAGGACUUUCGGCUGAGCUUAGAACUACCUUCUUGUUGCUCAAGAUCACCCUGUUUAAACAAACACAGCCAGAUGUCAUCAAGCUAGAAUUCUAUAUAUUCUCAAUUACAAGUUCUUUGCCAAUAUGUAACCAUGAAUGAUGUCCUUUCAUCAAAAACUGAGGCUUAAUCCAGAAGACGCACUUUUUAUAGCUGCUACGCCAAGCAAAUUCGAGGCUGCAAGCUCGUGGAGAGUAGGCAUCAUAAUUAUAGUUGUAUUCAUCGUUAAUUAUCAUGUCCAUUUAUUUGGCUGCAAUUUUAAUAGUUGCGAGUUUAUCAAGCCAUCAAUUAUAUUGAUGCAACAUGCAGUGAAAUAAGUACUUUACAGUACGUACGUGGGGGAGAGAGAGUGGAGACUCUGCUAAUAUUCUCUAUUAACUUGAAAGUGUUGUACUGUGACGUACUUUUUUUGGUUUAAGAAAAAAUAAUAAAACAACCCCAAGUACAAUGGCGUAUUAGUGUUGUAUUUCCAUGUCACAAUAUUACACUAACAGAUUAAUUAGGUUCAUCUGCAAUAUUCAGAAUUCAGUUCAGUUUUAAUACUGAAAGGUGUUUCAAGAAAAUUUAUAAUAAGCUUUUGUCACUAAAUUUGCUAGAAGUGGAAGCCGAUGACUUAUAAUUAGCAAUGUUUAGAAUGGCUUCCAUUAAUUGAAAUCCAUGAUUUAAAGAAGUCGUGUAUAUAUAGUUACCCAUAGAAUGUGAACUAAUUGAUUAUCUGAAAUUUUGAAAUUGAUUGACAGAUUUAAAUUGUAGGGUCAAAUCAUACGCAAUAAAUUGAGGGUUAUUACAACUAGUCGAAUAAGUUUAACAAGCAGGAUGAGAUGAUGAGAUAUAAAAUUUGUUCUAGCUAUUACAUAUAUAUAUUUUGUAAAUGAAUAUAGUGAACCACAAAUGGGUAACAUCACGUCAAUUUUUGCUGUUCUAUAGAUCAAUAAGUGGCAAUAACAUUUCCCAUAGUUGUGUUUCUUAAGUUAAAAGUCAGUUAAGAAGUGUAUUAGAUUAUUAGUAAAAUUAAAAAAAAAUCACAGUUUAAACCUAAAUAUUGACUUUUAAUUGUUGCAACAGAUGGGCAAAUUCAUUUGUCUAACAAAGUUUGAGUACAAUUAUAGUAGGUUUUCUCCUCUACCCUUCCUCCUCCAUAGGAGCCUCCCUCUUCCUUUGUCCUUUGCUCUUCCUUCCAAUCAAUAAAGUCUCUCCUAGAUUAUCCUAGUGAGAGUUUUCUUCCCUCCUAGAGUGUUCUAUUGAGAGUUUUAGUCUCUCCUAAACUAUCUUAGUGAGAGUUUUAUUUAGUUUUGUUCUUUACUUUUUCAGAUCUUGGAGUUUUUUUAGAUCUAUGUGUUAGAUCUACAAUUUCUUCAGUCUUCUCAUCAGAUCUCACUUUCAGUUUUGAGCUUGAACCAGUUGGAUAGCAGAUCUGAGGGAAUAUUUCAGAUUUGGAUCAAUCUCGGCAGAUCUCACCAUCUUUAUUAGACCUUACAACUGUUGAUUAGCAGAUCUGACGAUUACAGCAUGCACAAAGAGAACUGCAGCGAUUUUUUCUAUGAUGAAAUGUUUUUCAAAUUUAUGGUACUUUUUAGAUCUGUUGUUAAUUUCUCAAAUCUUAUGUAUUUGUUAAAUUGCAGAUCUAUAAUUUUACUGCAUGUUUAUCUGCCAUCAGGGCAGCAAUGUAUCUCAAUUGUACUGGACGAUUUCCAGUAAUCCUUUAAUGAAAUAUGUUUUAUUAUCAAAAAAAAAAAAACAAAGUUUGAGUACAUAAUAGAAUUUUUUGAAUAUUGAGAGAUGUAUAGAAUCUUGAAGGGAAGUGACUGAUUAGCAAUAUAUAAACUUAGCCGAAGUAUCGAUUAAGGAUCACGGCCAGGUUGCUGUUGCUCAUCCUGAUAACCAUAUACUCCCUCCCUUUUUUUAUAACUGACGUUUAAGGUUUUGCACACCAAUUAAGAAAAGUUUUUCAUUGUUUAAAUCUAUACACUACUUUCCUUUUGUACCCUCAUUAAUUGUCCAAUUCACUCAUAUUUUCUCUCACUAGAGUAUUAAAUGGUGCUGUUUUAUUAGGAGUAGUAAUUAAGAACCCUGUAUUGGAAAAGAGAGAUAAAAGGGUAAAAUUGUGAAAAAAUAAUUAAUGCUGCAUGGGGAUAGUAAAACGACAGAUAAAAGUACUUAAGAGCAAAUUUCUUAAACGUCAGUUAUAAAAAAAGGGAGGGAGUAUUUAUUAGAUUGAGCAAAUCAUAAUCCACAUGCCCAACGGUUCAUGCUUCUAAUCAAUUAAGAAAACAAUAAUAAUUAUGAGGGAAAAUUGUUCAAAACAUCCCUCGUAUUUAGUUAAAUGAAUUUUGCCGUCAUUCACUUUAAAAAUUGUAACUUUACCUCCCUUACAAUAUCAAGUCGGUAAAAUUUAGUUCUGACAUAAAUUUUUUUAUUAAUUUUACUCUAACUUUAUCAUAUGACUCAUACAUGAUCAUUUUCUUUGGAGCAAAAAGAUUAAAUCUUAUUUGUAAUUAAAUAAAUGAUCUGAUCUAUAUCCAUUUUUAUCCCUAAGAAAGUAGGAUUGGCCCGAAUCAUAUUAAUUUUUUCCUAUAAAAGUAAAAUUUGAUCCAAUCUAUAUUCAUUUUUAUCACUAAAAAAGUGGAAUCUGACCUUUUUGUACAUCAAAAUAAUUGUAUGUAGAUUACUUGAUGAUUUCAAACUAAAAAGUGAUUAAAAACUUAGGCCUUGUUUGGAUUGCCGGUUUCUGUCGAAAAAUUAUGUCGUUUUCCGUGAUCACAUUUUCCUAUUACCUUUUUCCCUCACAUAUAUCAAAUCGCUACAGUAAUUUUUUCAUGAAAAAUCACGAAAAAUGCAAUCCAAACACAACCUUAGGUUGAAAUCAAAAUUUUACUAACUUGAAUUUGUGAAUAACGUAUAAUUAAUAUUUUAAAAAUAAAUGAUAAAAAAAAUUCAUUUGAUAAAAUAUGAGCGAUAUUUUCAACUAUUUUUCCUGUACAUAAGACAACCAUUUUCAUCGACAAUAAUGUUAGUACAGCGAAGCAUUCACGUACUUGCACUCGACUGCCGUGUGUUGACGGAAUCGAUGAGUGGUCAAGCAUUUCUUCGUUGAACAAAAUAAAAGGGAUCCAGUUCACAACUCUUGAGUACAAAUUAAUGAGCGUGUUCAUAUGGUGGUGGGAACUCGAUUUUCCUGUAGUAUUAUAAUUGAAGUUGCUUGUUAGGUUUGGUCUAGUCAAAAACUCUUUACUUGCAAGCAAAUACAUGAUAAUUAAUCUCACAUUCUAUCUUAUUUUUUAAGAUUAAUUAUUUUAAUACCACCACCACACCCACCAAGAAUAAUAUAUAUCAAUCCAUUGACCGUUAACUGGGACAACAUUUAUUUAGAAGAACAAUAGCCAUUAUUUACUUUAGAAAACUCCGAGAUAAAUGAACAUGGAGGCACCAAAUGUUUGUGGCUUUGCUUUGGUACUCCACUCCACAUCCAUCUUACAUACAUAAGCAUCUGUUAAACACAAAAUAAGCCCUCUAUCUUGCAAGUAUUGCUGUAGCAUGGACUUUUACCGUUUCUUUUGGUUAAAUGGAGUUUGUGUCUAAUCAAUAUUUUACAUUAAAUGGUACCUGUGGCAAGAGCUAGUGAAUAGAAAAAGGAACUUUAAAAAAACUCUACAAAAAUGUGAAAAUGAACACAAUUUUAAGAUUUUUUUUGGGUAUUACAGGCAAAGAAUUCACAAUAAUGAGAGAGCAACACAUAUAAAUUACGAUUCAACGAUAUUACAAAAUAACAGACAAAUGGUGGGAUAAAUACUAACAUAUAGCUGCAAAAACUUGCAUAUGUCGCGAUUUAAAUCUAGAUUGAGAUGAUUUCAGAUAAAAUAAUUUAUUUCACAAAUUUUAAUAUUUUUUUAUCUUUACAGUAAUUAUCUUAAAUAAAUCAUCCAAAUAAACUCUUAUUCAAACAAACCCCUAGAUCUCUAAGUGUCGUCGAAACUUCUGGUCACCGGACGAAAACCUCAUCGAUACAAAUAUACACGUAAAAGAAGAUAAAGAAAAAAAUACAUUUUGUUUAACAUACAUUAUGUGAAUGAAUGGAUAUGCCUUGCAUGUCCUGCAAUAAAAGCAUUUAUGAAUGUGUGCAUUGAAAUUAAGGGAUCAUGGAUUGCCAGUGAAUUUAACCCCCCAAAAAAAAAGCCAUCAAUUAAUCCGCGGUACAGUUAUAGCUGUAAAGCCAAGCUGGCAAAGAGUGCUGCAGACUACAUAGUACCAACUAUCACACUGUACAGAGGGGAUGGAUUAGAAAUUAGCAGAAACUGUGAUGAGGGAAACGAUAGAGAAGUCAAAUGCAGAAAAGAGCACCGCCCAUAUACUCCAAACCUGGAGAAGUGGGGACCAACACCGCCUGGCAUUUUCCGGUUCCGCGUUUUUCUCUGGUAUGAGUAUCGUCUCUGUCCAGAGCCAGAAACCGGUCGCCUCGAAUGCCCCUUGUAAAAAGUUACCGGCUUUCGAGGUUUCUUCUGAAAUUAAAUUUAUAAAAAUCAAAUUUUUAAAUUUUUGUUUAAAAAAGGUCAAGGGAGAGUGCUCCUUGUAAUUAAGUAGUUUCGAUUAAACUGAAAUUUAAAAUUAAAAAUAUGAAAUAUGAAUUUAUCGAGUUAUUUGAUUAUUAAAUAUUAAAUUGAUAUAUUUAAAUAUAUAUCACAUUAAAUGAUAAAUUAAUAAUUUAUUACUUAUUAUUUAGAGUAAAUUUUAUCUAAAGAAUUUAAUGUUACUUUUAUGUCCUUUUUUUUAUUAUCAAAUAUAUUUGAAUAUAUUAAAAUUUGAAUUCAUUGAAUUUAAAUACUAAAUUACAGGCAGGGCUUUGAUGUCACGGUCGACGCGGGAUCAGCCAAUGAGAUGGCCCCAUGUUGUAGUGAUUAUUAUUGCCAGGAGCACCCAAAUUUACAGAAACACCCCGUUGAAUGAAUGAUUCCACUAAAAAUAGUUUUUACAAAUUAAACUUUCUUUUUUCUUUAAUUUAAAAAUAAAGUCUUUCUUUAGCUAUUGCACUCUUUUGAGGAGUAUUGCUAGAAAAAUCGACAGCACAAAUCACGACAUGCCUGUACUACUUAUAAUUUAGGGAAGUAAGAGAAAAAUCAUAUACAAAUAGAGGAGAUAAAAAAAAAAUAUAAAACUAUGACAUGAACACACAUCAUAUUGUAAAUUAUCAUUCUAUUUUAGUUACAUGACGACAGUUGUUUGCGUAACUCCUUGACAUGUUAAAUAAUAGUUUGGGCAAUUUUUUUUUUAUGUUUUUAGGAUGUUGACCGGUGGAUUAUUAGAGAAAAAUAAUUUGAUUGCUAUUUCUUUUCCAUUUCACGCCUUCGAGAAACUGACGUAUUCAUCAGUUACCACGCCAUGAGAAUUUUUUAGAAUUGAAUAGAUAUGGCUAUUCCAGAAUUUAUACCCUAUAUGUUGUUGAUGAAAAAGAGUUGGGCAAAUGAAAGGUGCAAGGCACUAAAAGUUCUUCAAGUUUGUAAAGGAAUAAAAUAGCAUGGAAGUUUUGAUCUGCACUCAAGACUUUAAAAAGUAACAGACAAGUGACAUUUGACGUCAAAUUUCCUACUACCUAAUUUUGAUAAACUCUCUUUUUUAUUUCCUUCAAUUCCUCCAAGAAGAAGUCCAAAGGCAUGUUGAGCAUUUGGUUGGAACCCAAUUAUUUUUAUCUCUCUCUCUCUUUGAUAAGAUCGAGUCAAGUGAAGAUAACUAUCUUUUAUCUGGAUGUCUAUCCAUGAACGUGAGGAAGUGAUACAUAUUUAACAAUCCGAUUGAGAUGGUGCAACUUAUUUUUUGUAAAAUUGCUAAAUAGUCCCUGAAGUAUUUAGCAUAUAAUCUCAACCCUACAAACAUUUGGAACUUUUUGCUGCUUUUUACCAAUUUGAUAUUUUACUUGGGCAUUUGAAACAUCCGUAGAUUUUCUUCCAAAAAAGUUAAACAUUGCAAACAAAUUAUAGGUAAAAGAAAAUUAGGGGAUAUAUAAGCUUGUCAAUCAACCCUAGACUCCCCAUUAUGAAAAAUUUGCAAGUUGGGUAGGAAAAAGAAAUAAUAUCUAACAUCUCAAUUCUCAUAUAUGAAGUUUUAGCAGAUAUUGAAGUUGAUUUGAAAUGGAUUGUUGAAGGCCUUUUUACAUAUGUUCAAUUCCAGAGUAUACCAAUUGGCUACAUGAUGGUGGUGGAGGGGUUUUUUUUUUUUUUUUUUUUGGUAAGAACAUGCCUAAAGGAACAAAUUGGACUCAAAUAGAAAGAAGUUGGGGGCGGGAGGAUGUAUGAACAAAAGCUUUAGGACUAAGUAAAAAAUCAGGGAAUACUUUAAGACAAAUUUAACCAUUUGGCCAAAAUAUGAUAGGAUCCUAAAAGAUCUUUUGGGAUUGGAGCCGUUUAUUGAAAAGCACUUCACUUAAUAGAGAUUUUUAAUAAAAGUACUUAUUAAGUGUUUAAACACUUUUAACUAUAUUGUUUGGAUACAUUGUUCAAUAAGUACUUAUUGUAUUAGACAAUAUGUAAUUUUAAAUAAUUAAAUUUGUUAAAAUAUAGGAUAAAAUAAUACAUUUAUUUACUUCAUAAUAUAGGAUAAAAUAAUUAAAUUUAAUAUUUUAUUUUUUAAAACACAAAAAUUAUUCCAAAAGUACCAAAUUUUAGCUUGCUAGAAGCCUAGAAGUGCUUUUAACACUAAACAUCUCAAAAGUUUUAUGGAAUUAUGUUUACCAACCAUCUCAAAAAGUGUUUUUAGCAAUAAAAUGUGCUUUUUUUUUGAUAAAAAAUACCGUUACUCCAAAAGUUCUUUUAUGAGAUCAUAUUUACCAAACAUUUUAGAAGUGUUUUUUUAACCAAAGCACCACAACGCAAACGAGGCCUAAAUCUUCUACGAAGUAUCAAAUCUUGGAGAAGUGUUUUGAAAGUCUUCAAGUGACAUCUUAAAUAAAUAAUGAAAAUUACGAACUUGACAAUCACAGGCCGCAAAAGUCCAAGCUCAAAUUUGUCAAUCACUGACUUUAAGUAAAUUUUUAACUAAAAAUUGUCAAUUUACUUACUUUAAGUGAAUGCUUAGCUCAAAAUAAUUCCAUAUACAUACGUCUAAAACACCAAAAAAAAAAGAAAAAAGAAAUGAAAUUUACACAUAGUGUGAACUUGAGCCAAGUAAGAAUUUAAUUUACACAUAAACGUGUAUACUUUGCCAAGUGGAGCUUAUUUAGAAACAGUCUAGUCUUAGGUGUUAAAUUUUCCAAAUACAGUUUAAAUACAAGAAUUUUGUGUGUAAAUUAAGUAACGGACUCUCACGUCAUCAACAAAUAACUAAUAACGAAUAACAGAAAAUGUUAGAAUUUUUCUAAUGGAUGCUCUAUAACAUAUCUAAUAUUCACCUAAUAUAUCGUAUAUAUACACAUAUUAACAAUUAUUAUUUUUCCUUGAAUUUAUAGAAUUAAUCUUUCCUUCACUGACAGUGUGACAGUGUAUACACUUUCAGCGUUAGAUGAAUGAUAACUAUACAAAAUUUGAAUUUGAAAUUCGACUUUUGCACACAUGUCAUGAAUCCAACGGUGAUAUUGUAUACACUUUCAGUGUAUAUAAGAUUUACUCAAAUUUAUAUAUUUUUUCUAUUUAAUCUUAUCUACCCUUUCUUAUAUUUAUUUACUUUUUAAUUAAUCUUAUAUUUUUAAAAAUAUAAUAUCUAAAAUAUACCUUAAGGGUACCCGUUGUACAUGCUCCUUUUAUACGCAAUUAUGUGUCUCAAAUAACCACACAUAUUUCCUUUAGCAGAAAAUUCCCCCCAACAUUUUCAAUCAUUGUAGCGCGUACAGCCGUAGUCCCAACAGCUAGUCUUUGCAGUAAUACACUUGUACAACACACAGAACACACACUGAUCAUUACUUACUUGUCAUCCUAAUAGUCAAAUCCAUUACAGCGUUACAACACAGUCAAUGCACUGCUAUCUUUACUCUCUUGACCUUUUCUAAACUGAAGUCUAGAAAUUCGGCUUUUAUAAACCUAAUCCCAGAAGAAACCUCAAAAGCCGGCAACUCUUGAGGUCCUUCCAGGGACUUAUAAACCAAACCCAAACCCCCCCCAGAACCGAUGUGGGAUGGCAAAUCCCACAAGGGCAAGCCAGUAAGGCCGCUGCUGCUAAGAAGUAAAGACCCCUCACGACACUCAGUAAACUACCCUUGCAUGAAUUUGCACUGCUAUCUUUACUCGUUCUCACACAUUUUCGCUUUUUCAAUUUAACCGUGUAAACCAAAUGCUACAACUAAUAUAUAUUAAUAUAUGUACGCCCUUCCUUGUACACCAAUAAAUUUAGUAUGUUUUAAAAUGGGUAAAAAAAUUUUAAGUUUGUUUAAUUAUUUUACCAAUUCAAAGGUCAUGUCUCCAACUACUCAGUUAAAAAAAUUCAAAAAAAAGUAAUUAUUGUCACGAGUUAGUCAAUAACCAUUAACGAGUAGUUAGUAUAUCUUUGUAAGUGUGCUUCGCAUAAAUAUUAAUAUAUAUACAUCAAAUUAUUUUAGUAGUUUUUCUAAAAUAAAUGUAAAAAUUGAGUUCAUUUAACUAUUUUACCAAAUCAAGUUGUCUUAUCUCCAGCAACAAAAUAAGAAAUUCAAAAGGUAAUUCCAGCCAAUUACCCUUGUUUGGAUUGUGAAUUUUUUUGUAAAAAGAAUUUUAUGUUUUUUGUAAAUAUAUUUUUCAAUCAUUUUUUACAUCACAUUCAUCAAACCGUUAGAGUAUAUUUUUUUUAUAAAAACUUCUAAAAAUAGCAAUCAAAACGGACAUAACCUGCAUAAAAUAUUUCAUUUGCUUUUUGAGAAAAAUAUAGCAAUUAAGUUUAUUUAAUUUAUGUUAUCAAUUAAACCGUCAUGUUUCUAAUGACUAAACUAAGAAAUUCAAGAAGGCAGAUCAGUCAGAUCACAGAUUACCUACAAAACAAGCCCAUAACCUCAUGAAUAUUCAGAGAAUAUUUUCGUCAUGUUUUACUUAAUAUAAAAAUAUGCCUGAUAAUGAUAAUUUUUUUUUUGAAGGACUGAUAAUGAUAAAUUGAGCUCGAACAGAAUUCUUUUUUUGUAAACGCCAUAAGAUGAUAAUCAUAGUGGCUUGACGUCAUAAUCUUUAUUAUUAUCAUCUUAAUUCACACGUCCAUUAUGUAUAUAAGUUGUCACGUACAUCAUAUAUGCAUUCUUACGUAUAAUAUACCAUCCUCUCCGUAGGGGGGAAAAGUAAUCCCAAAUCUAAAAUACGGCUUCUGUUUCCCUGCUCCCCGUCCCUUCCUUUCGUCGAAAUUCCUUCACUGAUUGGCUGUCCUCUGUGGCUGUCCCAUUCCCCACUGACCCUUUUCCCUCUCUUCGGAAUGAGAUCCUACGCAAAUACCUUCCCAUACCAAAAAUGAAAAAACCAACAAUAUAAUAAAAAGAAAGAAAAAAAUAAAUAAAAAAGAAAAGUUUCUCAUUUGCCAUUUCUCAUUUUCCAGUUCGAUUAGUUUAUUUCCUCCCUCGCAUCCAGCCGUCCUUCCUUUAACGCGUUCACGCGUAGACUUGUCUCCUGCUUUUGUGGUCUCCCACUAUAUAUAUCUCACCACCAUCCCCCUCCCCUCCUUAGCAGGUGCAGGCCUUUCUUCUCCGCCAUCUCUGCAUCUGUUAAAAAUUUUUGGCUUUUUUUUUUUCAAGAAAAUACAAUAAUCCCAUAUUCACUUCCAUUUCUCUUGAUUCCAGCAAAAAUAUUUCGAGAAAAAAAAAUCUUUUUCUGCCACUAUAUUCCUGUUGAUAACAAAUAAAUAGUUAGCAAGAAACAAAUAAUGCCGUCAUUGGAGGAAGAACUUUUCCCAUCAACGCCGGGGAAGUUCAAGGAUAGAGGAGGAGCCCAUAGCAUGAACCGGCAGUUCUACAGAUGUUUCGCUUCGACGAGUACCAUGUUCUUAUGGGCUCUUUUCUUGAUUGCUCUGACUGCGUCGUACUUGAGUUUCCAAUCUUUCGUGGACUCCGGCUCCCGUUAUUUCUCCUCCGCUUGGGGUGGCCACCAUUGGGAGAAACAAGUUAAGAGCUCUGCCCAGAUCCACCGGGCCAACGGGUUUUCCGUUCUCGUCACAGGUGCAGCCGGUUUCGUCGGGUCCCACGUCUCCCUCGCUUUAAAGAAACGGGGAGACGGCGUCGUUGGGUUCGACAACUUCAACAACUACUACGACCCGUUGUUGAAGAAGGCCAGAAAAGCGCUUUUAAACUCGCACAACGUUUUUAUCGUGGAGGGAGAUGUAAACGACGCUAAGUUGAUAGCGAAGCUCUUCGACAUUGUGGAGUUUACCCACGUGAUGCAUUUGGCGGCUCAAGCCGGCGUCCGAUACGCCAUGGAGAAUCCUCAUUCUUAUGUUCAUAGCAAUAUAGCCGGCUUGGUCACCCUUUUAGAGGCUUGCAAGAACGCCGAUCCUCAGCCGGCUAUUGUUUGGGCCAGCUCCAGUUCUGUUUACGGGUUGAAUGAAGACGUUCCCUUUUCCGAAUCGGAUCGUACUGACAGACCCGCUUCUCUCUACGCCGCAACCAAGAAGUCCGGUGAAGCUAUUACGCACACUUACAAUCAUAUCUACGGGUUGAGCAUUACCGGGUUGAGGUUUUUCACGGUUUACGGGCCCUGGGGAAGACCCGACAUGGCGUACUUCUCUUUUACCAAGGGUAUCCUGCAAGGUAAACCGAUUACGAUCUACCGGGGCAAGAACCGGGUCGACUUGGCCCGGGACUUUACGUACAUUGAUGACGUGGUGAAAGGGUGCGUGGCGUCGUUGGACACUGCCAAGAAGAGUACCGGGUCGGGUGGAAAGAAACGGGGCCCGGCUCAGUAUCGGAUCUUCAACUUGGGGAACACGUCGCCGGUGACGGUGCCGAUGAUGGUGGGGAUACUGGAGAGGCAUCUCAAGGUUAAGGCUAAGAAGAAUUACGUGGAUAUGCCUGGAAACGGUGACGUUCCGUUCACUCAUGCGAAUAUAAGCUUGGCCCGGAGAGAACUCGGGUAUAAGCCCACAACCGAUUUACAAACCGGGUUGAAGAAAUUUGUUAAGUGGUAUCUCGCAUAUUACGGCCACAAUCAUGGCAAGUCUGUAAAGCUAUGACAGGAGUAAAAUUCUUUUCAAUUUUUUUUUUUGGAAAAAUUUUCCUGCUGUAUUGUAGUUUUUUUUUUUUUUUUUUUUACCUCCUUUUUAAUUUUUUUUUUCACGGGAAGAAGAAAGGAAUGGAAAUGGAUAAUCCAUGUAAGCAGGAUAAAAGGAAAAGAAAGAAAAGAAAAGAUGAAUAGUAGUUACGUUAUUCUUUUCUUGAGGAAGAGGAGAGGUGAAGAUUGACUCCUUUUUCCUCGGUUAGAGCUGCCGGUACUUUUUCUCUUUUUUUUUUUUUUUUCCCUCUGUAAAGGAUAACAAAUUUCACAUUUUGGCUGGCCCAGAUUUUGCUUUUUGAUCCUUUUUCUCUUUAUUAUUUCUAUUUCUAAAAUUUACUAACUCAAUGAUUUAAUGCACAGCUUUUUAACUGAACAUGAUUCCUCAUUUUAUCUCAGUUUGAUUUGGAUUCUUGAAUUAUUUUACUAUAAUUGCGGCGGAAAGUUGGCUUUCUAUACGUUCUCUCAUGCAUGUGUGGCCUCCUCUACUGUAUUAGUUUGAAUUUUCAUUUUGGCUGAAAAUAUAAUAAGAGUUUUAAUUAAACACUUCAUUAAAUAGAAUUUUGAAGAACAAGCAACUAUGCUUAAUUAUCGCUAUCAGGGAAAAGUUUUUAGAAUUUUUUUCACUGAAUUUAAUUCAGAAAUGAAUCCUGAGUGUUAUAGUUGGACAGUUUAUUCGUACUGUUGAAGAAUAAACAACUAUUAGUUGUUUAAUGUGCCGUUAAAAUAGUUUACUUAUAAUAGUUAGGGAAGAGUCGGAGAAGAGUUUUUAGAGUUUUUUCCAUUGAAUUUUUAAUUCAGGUUUUGAAUCGUGAGUAUAAUUAUAAUUGGGACAGUUUAUUCAUAAAUUUGCAUGUAGUUUUUUGGUACUUAGGGUUCGAUUUAGAGUAAAGUGUCAGUUUAAAGUAAAAGUAAAGUGUAAAAAUCAACCACAUCUCUAGUAUGAUGAUGGGAAUAAUUUAAAAUUAACAGACAUAUAAUUUUGAUAGUAACAGGUUGGAUAAUUUUUCAUUAUUGAUCUCAAGGCGGUCAAUCAACAUUAAAUUCAGAGUUAAAAAAAAAAAAGAAUUAACCAUAUUCAGUCACAAUUAUCAAACAAAGGUAGGGUAGCGUAGCGUGGCCGUGGCGUGACGGUUUGUUUUUUUUUUUUUUAUUAUCAAAGAAAAGAUCAAAAGAAAAGAAUUCCUUUUUCGUAAUUGGGGAGAUUAGAUUAGGUCAGAAAGAAUUUUCUAAGGUCGAAAGAGAAAGCUCCAUCCUCC